rnacentral:rRNA from 1 species
UACGUAGGGGGCAGCGUUGUCCGGAUUUAUUGGCGUAAGAGCGUGUAGGCGGCUAGGUAGGUGGGUUGUGAAAACUGGAGGCUCAACCUUCAGACGUCGACCCAAACCCCCUGGCUAGUAGUCCGGAAGAGGCGAGUGGAAUUCCCGGUGUAGCGGUGAAAUGCGCAGAUAUCGGGAGGAACACCAAUGGCGAAGGCAGCUCGCUGGGACGUUACUGACGGCUGAGGCCCGAAAGCGAUGGGGAGCGAACGGGAAGUUAGAAAAC